CGCGGGGUGGAGCAGCUCGGUAGCUCGCUGGGCUCAUACCCCAGAGGUCGCAGGUUCAAAUCCUGUCCCCGCUA
rnacentral:tRNA from 1 species